AUGUUGGAUGACGGCGAGUGGUUCGAGUGUGAAUGCGGGCAAUUCACCCACAUGGGGAUGCUUUGUUGCCAUACUUUGAAGGUGAUGGACUAUGUUGGCAUGAAGGAGAUGCGGAAGCGGCACAUCCUCAAGAGAUGGACGAAAUAUGCUAGGGACAUCCUGCCCCAGCAUCUUGCUCACUUCAAAAGAAACCAGGUCGUGAACAAAUCUUUCACCUGCCGCAGCUCGACUCUCUACCUACACGCCAUGGAGCUGGUUAGGCUUGGGGAUGCAUCCGUCACGACAUAUGAACUCGUGUUGGUUCGCUUGAAGGAUAUGAUUGCGGAGGUAUCACCACUAGCUGAAACAAGAGAUGGGAUAGGGUUUGAGGAUAGACAAGCAGCAGAAGCGAAUCACAACAACAUUGCAUUGGCAGGCGCAAUUGUCAGCAUUAGAGGGGGGGGGGGGGCUGACAACAAGAACAAUCUGACCCUUCCUGCUAACUGGGAUGCACAUGCUGGACUGUCUGCUCCGAGCAAGAAAUGUGGUGCCAGGCGACCAUGCAUCAGUAGGAAGAAGGCACCGUAUGAAGGACUACGUACAAUGACAAAGUUCUGCAGCAUUUGCAAAUUGCCAUGA
rnacentral:rRNA from 1 species